rnacentral:rRNA from 1 species
CCUGACUGCUAUCGGAUUGAUACUAAGCCAUGCGAGUCAUUGUAGCAAUACAAGGCAUACGGCUCAGUAACGCGUAGUCAACCUAACCUAUGGACGGGAAUAACCUCGGGAAACUGAGAAUAAUGCCCGAUAGAACACUAUACCUGGAAUGGUUUGUGUUCCAAAUGAUUUAUCGCCAUAGGAUGGGACUGCGGCCUAUCAGUUUGUUGGUGAGGUAAUGGCCCACCAAGACUAUUACAGGUACGGGCUCUGAGAGGAGUAGCCCGGAGAUGGGUACUGAGACACGGACCCAGGCCCUAUGGGGCGCAGCAGGCGAGAAAACUUUGCAAUGUGCGAAAGCACGACAAGGUUAAUCCGAGUGAUUUGUGCUAAACGAAUCUUUUGUUAGUCCUAGAAACACUAACGAAUAAGGGGUGGGCAAGUUCUGGUGUCAGCCGCCGCGGUAAAACCAGCACCUCAAGUGGUCAGGAUGAUUAUUGGGCCUAAAGCAUCCGUAGCCGGCUCUGUAAGUUUUCGGUUAAAUCUGUACGCUUAACGUACAGGCUGCCGGGAAUACUGCAGAGCUAGGGAGUGGGAGAGGUAGACGGUACUCGGUAGGAAGUGGUAAAAUGCUUUGAUCUAUCGAUGACCACCUGUGGCGAAGGCGGUCUACCAGAACACGUCCGACGGUGAGGGAUGAAAGCUGGGGGAGCAAACCGGAUUAGAUACCCGGGUAGUCCCAGCUGUAAACUAUGCAAACUCAGUGAUGCAUUGGCUUGUGGCCAAUGCAGUGCUGCAGGGAAGCCGUUAAGUUUGCCGCCUGGGAAGUACGUACGCAAGUAUGAAACUUAAAGGAAUUGGCGGGGGAGCACCACGAGGGGUGAAGCCUGCGGUUC